rnacentral:tRNA from 1 species
AUUUAUAUAGUUUAAUUAAAACAGUACACUUUCAUUGUAAAAAUAAGUAAUUUAUCUUUAUAAAUA